rnacentral:RNase_P_RNA from 1 species
AGUAGUGGUUGGUUGGCUUACGUUUCGAAUGAAACGAGGAAAGUCCGCUCACCUCUGUUCGCGAGAACAGUUCCCUGUCUGUUAAGGACAAUACCGAAAGGUAGGGGGAGCUCAACAGAAACGAGACCUUUCAGAAAUGAAAGGAUGAAACGGGGGCUUUUAGGUGCAACUCCAUUAGUGGAGGCUUAGGUGAAUGCCAACUUGUGAUGAACUUAUUCAUCAAUACAAGAGAACAGAAAGCGGCUUACACACCACUGCU